AGGCAUCUGUUGAAAGCCAAUGGA
rnacentral:siRNA from 1 species